AGCAGCCGCGGUAAUUCCAGCUCCAAUAGCGUAUAUUAAAGUUGUUGCAGUUAAAAAGCUCGUAGUUGAAUUUCGGGGUUAGUAGGUUGGUCAUGCCUCUGGUAUGUACUGGUCUCACUGAUUCCUCCUUCCUGAUGAGCCGUAAUGCCAUUAAUUUGGUGUUGCGGGGAAUUUGGACUGUUACUUUGAAAAAAUUAGAGUGUUUAAAGCAAGCUAACGCUUGAAUACAUUAGCAUGGAAUAAUGAAAUAGGACGUUCGAUCCUAUUUUGUUGGUUUCUAGGAUUGACGUAAUGAUUAAUAGGGAUAGUUGGGGGCAUUAGUAUUCAAUUGUCAGAGGUGAAAUUCUUGGAUUUAUUGAAGACUAACUACUGCGAAAGCAUUUGCCAAGGAUGUUUUCAUUAAUCAAGAACGAAGUUAGGGGAUCGAAGACGAUCAGAUACCGUCGUAGU
rnacentral:rRNA from 1 species